GACAAUUUCUGAGAAAUACAAAGAAUUUUUCAAUUUUUUUCAGAAAUUAUUGAAUAAGAAUUCUCAAAAUAUUCUGUAGGACUGCCUUCCCUUUUUUUUGUGACAUUCAAUGUCUUUAAAGCGCUAAUGUCAGCUUUCUUUGUAGCUGAGUACUGAGUCUACAUAAUUCGACAAAAUUUACGUCAACGUAUAAACGUAUAAUAUUUCGUUUUAAAAACAAUUAAUAUUCAAUAUUUUUUACCUUUCUUGUUUCGAUAUUUUCUUCAUCAGUAGCGAGUCAAACGCGAGACAGCCAAUCGCGAUCGGAAUAAAGAGGCAACAAUGUAAUCGCGAUUAGCAGGCAACUUUAGGGUUACAUGGCUAUUUUAUAAGAAGAUCCUCUGGUAAUUCCAACUACAAAAUUUGUAUCGUCCAUUUUUGAACAAACGGACAGGUUGAAUCAACCAGAAUUUUUCAUAAAACAACAAAACUUUUUCCAGUGUGUGAAAUAAAAUAAAUAUACUUUUAUACUUUACUACAGCACGUAGUGAAUUUGUCAUUUUUACAUAUAACCUCUAUACGGACUUAUCUAAUAUUUGUUAACCUAUAAAUACAGAAAUAAUAUAAUCAUAAAUACUAAAAAUUCGCUUACCAGAUCGCAUAAUAACAACUUCCUGGUAUGAUUUUUGAUUGUAAAAAAAUGUGACUGUAUCUCCUUUAACUUUACACUUUUGUAAUCACAAAUCACCGCGUUAUCAUUCACUAGGCAAUAAGAACCAUCGUUCUUACAAUUAAUAAUAAACAUGAUGUGCACAGUGAAAAUCUGUGGCACUAAUAACAGAAUCAACAAAAUUACGGAUGCCGAGACAACACGCGUGAAACAAAGACCGGCUACGUCUAUCCAUACGUAUGAUACGUUCUCCUUUGCGCAUGCAUUAUAUAUAUAUGUAUGCGAGUGUAUGGCUGCGUUCGCUUUGGCACUCACAGCGCUUGUAAGAGUAUCAUUUGUUUUUGUUUAAUAUUUGAUAAACAAUAAGGAUGAAAUGAUGCUUCAAGCGCUAUAAGCACCAAAGCAAAUACUAAUUUAGUAUUAACAGAAAGCAAGACGGUGAUUGGCCAAGUUUGCUUGAGUCUGCUCCGAGUAGACCCAGAUCGGACAAAACGAACAGGCCGUUCGUGUUGAACAAAUGUACAGAUAAAACUUUUGAAAUGAUUUGCUUUUGAUUUUCAAUCGACUGUGCCAAGUAUAUUAUUAGUGACAAAUAAUAACAUGUCUGAUAAAAGAAAAAAAGAUUCCCCCUCUUUUACAAGAGGAAAAUAUAAAACUUACAUCAAGGAUAAAAACCUUCAGGUAAUUAAAUUACAGUUUUAUAAAUAUCUAUAUAAAUUGAAAAAGAUUUUCUUGUUUAUUGAUGCUUGCAUGGACAAAUAGCUGAUCAAAUAUUUGCUAUAUACGAAUAGCUGAUCAAUCAUCUGUUAUAUACAAACAUUAUGUUACUAAAUAUUUUAAACUUGUAAUCAUAAUUAAGUUACUAUUGCCAAAUAGUUUUUAUUUUGUUUUUUAAAUAUAAAUUAUUCCUAAUAUAUAUUUGUUCUCUUGAUACCAGUAAGGACCCUCUCAAGGUGGAAACAAAAAGAAAAUAACAUUUCUUAUGUUGAUUUAGAUGCAACGGAAAACAAAAAUGUUCAAGAUACAUUCAAUAGCAAUAUGAACUCGUAUGCAUCAGAUCAAUACAACGAUAACGAGCCAACUGCUAGUAAAAUCAGUGAUCCAUCAGAUAGCAAUGAAUCAAAAUUUUACGAUGCUCGAAAUGAUAGAAUAAAUGAUGAUGACAAUUAUGCAGCGAAAGAAAAUGAAAUUGACUCCGACGAUGAUGAACAACAAGACAAUCAAAGUAUGCUAUUAUACGAAAAAAGUACUAAAAGCACUGAUGAAAGUGUUUUAUUACUCUUGCAAUUAUUUCUCGACAACAAAA